UACGGGGGGAGCAAGCGUUGUUCGGAUUUACUGGGCGUAAAGGGCGCGUAGGCGGUCAGUGCAAGUCAGUUGUGAAAUCUCCGGGCUUAACUCGGAAAGGUCAACUGAUACUGCUCGACUAGAGUGCGGAAGGGGCAACUGGAAUUCUUGGUGUAGCGGUGAAAUGCGUAGAGAUGUGGAGGAACACCAGUGGCGAAGGCGACUUUCUGGCCUAUAACUGACGCUGAGGAGCGAAAGCGUGGGGAGCGAACAGG
rnacentral:rRNA from 1 species